rnacentral:rRNA from 1 species
CGCAUAACGUCGCAAGACCAAAGAGGGGGACCUUCGGGCCUCUUGCCAUCAGAUGUGCCCAGAUGGGAUUAGCUUGUUGGUGAGGUAACGGCUCACCAAGGCGACGAUCCCUAGCUGGUCUGAGAGGAUGACCAGCCACACUGGAACUGAGACACGGUCCAGACUCCUACGGGAGGCAGCAGUGGGGAAUAUUGCACAAUGGGCGCAAGCCUGAUGCAGCCAUGCCGCGUGUAUGAAGAAGGCCUUCGGGUUGUAAAGUACUU